rnacentral:rRNA from 1 species
CCUGGCGGCAAUAGCGGGCGGGAACCACCCGAUCCCAUUCCGAACUCGGAAGUGAAAACGCCCAGCGCCGAUGGUAGUGCGGGUUCGCUCGCGCGAGAGUAGGUCACUGCCAGGC